AUUGAACGCUGGCGGCAGGCCUAACACAUGCAAGUCGAACGAGUGGCGGACGGGUGAGUAAUGUCUGGGAAACUGCCUGAUGGAGGGGGAUAACUACUGGAAACGGUAGCUAAUACCGCAUACCAUCAGAUUUGCCCAGAUGGGCUUGGCUAGUUGGUGGGGUAACGGCUCACCAAGGCCACGAUCCCUAGCUGGUCUGAGAGGAGGACCAGCCACACUGGAACUGAGACACGGUCCAGACUCCUACGUGAGGCAGCAGUGGGGAAUAUUGCACAAGGGGCGAAAGCCUGAUGCAGCAAUGCCGCGUGUAUGAAGAAGGCCUUCGGGUUGUAAAGUACGUUCAGCGGGGAGGCGGUACCCGCAGAAGAAGCACCGGCUAACUCCGUGCCAGCAGCCGCGGUAAUUC
rnacentral:rRNA from 1 species